UGUUCAGUCCUAUGCGACCAGCUCCUGCAGAAUUCCCCCAGGGUCGGAAGGCAGCAAGGGUAUGUGGUUGUAGCGGUGCGACGUAGUCAGCUUACCCUCU
rnacentral:SRP_RNA from 1 species